rnacentral:tRNA from 1 species
UCCCUGGUGGCUCCGAGGGUAAAGCGUCUGCCUGCAAUGCGGGAGACCUGGGUUCGAUCCCUGGUUCGGGAA